GGAUUAGAUACCCUGGUAGUCCACGCCCUAAACGAUGCGAACUGGAUGUUGGGUGCAAUUUGGCACGCAGUAUCGAAGCUAACGCGUUAAGUUCGCCGCCUGGGGAGUACGGUCGCAAGACUGAAACUCAAAGGAAUUGACGGGGGCCCGCACAAGCGGUGGAGUAUGUGGUUUAAUUCGAUGCAACGCGAAGAACCUUACCUGGCCUUGACAUGUCGAGAACUUUCCAGAGAUGGAUUGGUGCCUUCGGGAACUCGAACACAGGUGCUGCAUGGCUGUCGUCAGCUCGUGUUG
rnacentral:rRNA from 1 species